UUAUUUCAUAUAUAUAAUACAUGAAGUUCACAAGACCAAAAUAUUAUACAUAGGGUCCAUGGACGCAGUCGAAAGUAAAACAUACAUUCAUAUAUCUUGAAAACGAGUCUUUAGCAAAAGAUGAUCAAUCUACACCAGCUCCUACAGUUCCGCGAGUGCUACGGUCCUCUCUACUGGUCACCUGCAAAAAGAUGUGAGGAGUGAGUGAACUAGUUUCACUCAGUGAGCCAGGGUUCCCUAUCUAGCAUAUACAACUACCCGUCAUUCUAAACCAACCCCAAACACAAGCAAGGCGGGUAGUUCAAAAAUCAAUAUUCAAAUAUUAAAUUUUAAAUGAUUAAGCAGUAAACAAUUAAACCAUAAUAAUUCCUAUCUAGCAUAUACAACUACCCGUCAUUCUAAACCAACCCCAAACACAAGCAAGACGGGUAGUUCAACAAUCAAUAUUCAAAUAUUAAAUUUUAAAUGAUUAAGCAGUAAACAAUUAAACCAUAAUAAUCCAAACACUCUUUAUGAGUGUCAUCACAUCAAUCAACCAUAUAUAUACUCCUAGGGCCCAACAGAAUCAUUCUUCCUCCACAUAAGGGACACCGGCAAUCCCUUCACUAUUACACCACACAGGCGUAGGCGCUCGGGAAUCGCCCGGUCACGGUCCUCAAUCGGAAUCGCCGUGCCCCGGUCCUCUAUCGGACUCGCCGGGGGCUGUCACAUCCACAUGUGACACUCGGCCUUGGUGAUCAAGCCAAGUUAAACCGAGCCCACCACUUUCCGGACCACGACCGGCUUAGUGGUACCAUUUGAGGAAGCAAUGACCUGCAAACUACUACUAGAACCACCACGAGGUUCUCAUACAACAGUACCAACACGAGGUACACACUAUAACAACAUAUAAUAAUCACACAAUCACAAUAAUCUGGGUGCUUAGACUAGUCUUGCUAUCCACUUAGCCCAGACAUCGUCUCAAGCCUCAGAUCCACAAACUGACACCUAGACCGGUCCGACAAUCCUAGCUCGGAAACCGUCUCCGAUGUCAGGAAUCUGCAUUAAAAACACGUUAACAAACAAUUAACCGUGACUCACAGUGAUUAAGCGAUGUGGCUUGACUUUCUGAUUCCGGAAGCUGACCAAACCCUUUUUAUCCCCUCCAAUCUUCGUCUUGAUUCUGUACCGUUAAUCCCGCAAUCUUGUAACACGUCUUGCUUCUCCAAGCAACUCUCUAAACAGCUCCUUAAAUUAUUUAUUUUCUUUUUCUAUUUCUUUUCUUCUUUUUUUUCUUCUCUUUAUUUCUUUUCUCUUCUUGCUCUC
rnacentral:lncRNA from 1 species